rnacentral:rRNA from 1 species
UACGGAGGGUGCAAGCGUUGUUCGGAAUUACUGGGCGUAAAGCGCGCGUAGGCGGUUUGUUAUGUCAGAUGUGAAAGUCCACGGCUCAACCGUGGAAGUGCAUUUGAAACUGGCAGACUUGAGUAUUGGAGGGGGUAGUGGAAUUCCCGGUGUAGAGGUGAAAUUCGUAGAUAUCGGGAGGAAUACCGGUGGCGAAGGCGACUACCUGGCCAAAUACUGACGCUGAGGUGCGAAAGCGUGGGGAGCAAACAGG